rnacentral:rRNA from 1 species
AGUCAUAUGCUUGUCUCAAAGAUUAAGCCAUGCAUGUCUCAGUACAAGCCAAAGUAAGGUGAAACCGCGAAAGGCUCAUUAAAUCAGUUAUGGUUCCUUAGAUCGUACCCACAAUUACUUGGAUAACUGUGGUAAUUCUAGAGCUAAUACAUGCAAAUAGAGCCCCGACCGGAGACGGAAGGGGCGCUUUUAUUAGAUCAAAACCAAUCGGCGGCGGUGAAAGCCGUCGUCGUACUCCUUGGUGACUCUGAAUAACUUUGUUGCUGAUCGCACGGUCUCGAACCGGCGACGCAUCUUUCAAAUGUCUGCCUUAUCAACUUUCGAUGGUAGGUUCUGCGCCUACCAUGGUUGUAACGGGUAACGGGGAAUCAGGGUUCGAUUCCGGAGAGGGAGCCUGAGAAACGGCUACCACAUCCAAGGAAGGCAGCAGGCGCGCAAAUUACCCACUCCCGGCACGGGGAGGUAGUGACGAAAAAUAACGAUACGGGACUCAUCCGAGGCCCCGUAAUCGGAAUGAGUAAACUCUAAACCUUUUUACGAGGACCAAUUGGAGGGCAAGUCUGGUGCCAGCAGCCGCGGUAAUUCCAGCUCCAAUAGCGUAU